rnacentral:rRNA from 1 species
AUGUGCAUCCCGAAGAAGGAAGGUGGAAUGGGAUUCAGAGACUUACACAGCUUUAAUCUUGCUAUGUUAGCAAAGCAGUGUUGGCGACUGAUCCAAGAUCCAGACUCUUUGUGUGCGCGUGUUGUCAGUGCAAAGUAUUACCCCGAUGGUAACAUUCUUAAUGUUGGCCCUAAGAAAGGCUCUUCUUAUACUUGGUAGAGUAUAGUAUCAGGAAUUCAAACAUUUAAGAGGGGGUUUAUUUGGAGAGUUGGGACAGGUUCUAAUAUCAAUAUUUGGCUAGACCCAUGGAUACCGUCAAGUGCCUCGUGCAAAGUUAUAACACCGAGGGGGCAGAUUAUGUUGUCCAAAGUUGAAGAGCUCAUAGACCCGCACUCGGGCACAUGGGAUGAAGCCUUAUUGCAGUCCGUGUUUAAUCCAGUCGAUGUGGAAAUGAUAAUAAGGAUCCCUCUUAAUGUGAGUAUUGUUGACGAUUUUGUGGCAUGGCAGUUUACACGGUAAGGAACCUUCUCAGUCCGUUCAGCAUACCAUACAGAGUUCAAUCAUCAGUUUGGCUCACGCGCUUCUCCUACUGAUGGAGAAGGAGGGUCUGUAGUAAAUGGCAUUUGGAAACAUUCGUGGAAACUCCGAGUUCCUGGCAAGAUUAAGCAUUUUGCUUGGAAGGUGCUCAGGGGCGUUCUUCCAUGCUAUGGAGUUCUCACGAAACGUCAUAUCCCGGUAUCUGGUUAAUGCCCGGUUUGCAAAGUUGGGUUUGAAGAUAUUCAGCAUUGUUUAUUCUUGUGUUGCCGUGCUAUGGAAGUGUGGAAAGAAUUAGGCCUGAAUGCGGUGAUCAACCAAGCAGCAAUGGAGGACCACUCAGGAUCAGUUACCAUGGAGAUUUUAUUGCGAAACCACUCGUCAAUUGGUGAUCUUCCAGUGGCUGAGUUGAUUACGGUGGCUGCGUGGUACAUUUGGUGGCAAUGUCGCCAGUUUGCAAAGGGGGAAACUAUUUCAGAUGCACACCAUUCAGCUAUUUCAAUUAAGGUCCUAGCGACGAACUAUGUGUGA